rnacentral:rRNA from 1 species
AGCAGCCGCGGUAAUUCCAGCUCCAACAGCGUAUAUUAAAGUUGUUGCAGUUAAAAAGCUCGUAGUUGAAUUGAGGGAUUGACGUGGCGGUCGUGCCUUACGGGGUAUGAACUGUUGCUGUUGAUUUUUCUCACCUUCUGGAGAAACUUGAUGUCCUUAAUUGGGUGUCUUGCGGAUCCAGGACCUUUACCUUGAAAAAAUUAGAGUGUUUAAAGCAGGCAUUUUGCUCGAAUACAUUAGCAUGGAAUAAUAGAAUAGGACGGCAUGGUUCUAUUUUGUUGGUUUCUAGGAUCACCGUAAUGAUUAAUAGGGAUAGUUGGGGGCAUUAGUAUUCAAUUGUCAGAGGCGAAAUACUUGGAUUUGUUGAAGACUAAUUACUGCGAAAGCAUUUGCCAAGGAUGUUUUCAUUAAUCAAGAACGAAAGUUAGGGGAUCGAAGACGAUCAGAUACCGUCGUAGUCUUAACCAAUAAACUAUGCCGACUAGGAAUCAGACGAUGUUAAUUUUUAAUGAUUCGUUUG